UUCGGGCCAGUGCGCAUUGCCUACCCCCUGCUACAGGACUUCGCUGAGCGCCAGGCGCAGGGACUGGACGCAUACGGACCCCCGGGAGCCCCGGAACUCGCGUUCCCACGCCAGACCUCAUCCCCUUCUGACAGAGACGCCCUCGUCCCACCGUCCCUUCAACGCCGCAGGCGCCAGGGGUCCCUCCCCACCGCCGAGGUCUAGCCGCUGCCCGCCCGCCUUCGGGGCAGCGCGGGGACCCCCUGGCCCUCGCCCAGUGCUCCGGGGCUCACCCGCCGCUCCUCGCCGCCUCCGGAGGCGAGGGAUUGUUUCCCGCAAGGGACUGGAGUCCAGGGAAGGACUCGCCUGGAGCGGGAGGCGGGGAUGCACAUGCGCAGAGGGAGAGGCCGAGCGCCCGAGUUAGGCUGGUGGAUGCGAUGCGGGGCUUGGAAGAGGCGCUAGACGGUGCCUGUCUCUCACAAUUAUAUAUCAUGCUGGUCAUCAUAAGGUUCUCCUGCAAAACAGCCUUGUAUAGUGGGUUGAGAGAUUACUGUCUCAGUUACCCACUCCUGCUUGGAACCAGGAUUCUGUCAGUGUCCCCAGAGGUUGUGGAUCAAAUCAAUGUGCCUUUUAGACACAAGCCAAGAGAAGGAAAGGUGUGCUUGAAUUCAUUCACGAACAUGCAUG
rnacentral:lncRNA from 1 species